UACGUAGGGUGCAAGCGUUGUCCGGAAUUAUUGGGCGUAAAGAGCUCGUAGGCGGUUUGUCGCGUCUGCUGUGAAAACUCGGGGCUUAACUCCGGGCCUGCAGUGGGUACGGGCAGACUAGAGUGCGGUAGGGGAGACUGGAAUUCCUGGUGUAGCGGUGAAAUGCGCAGAUAUCAGGAGGAACACCAGUGGCGAAGGCGGGUCUCUGGACAGUUCCUGACGCUGAGGCACGAAGGCCAGGGGAGCAAACGGGG
rnacentral:rRNA from 1 species